AAGUGACCAAUUCGAAGUGCCGGGGAACGGGGUGAGAGCCGGCCGCGUCGACCCGCAUACGACGGAGUCAGUACGCCCCCUCAGAGUCCUCCGGGCCUGCCCUAUGUCU
rnacentral:sRNA from 1 species